rnacentral:rRNA from 1 species
GAUGAACGCUGGCGGCGUGCCUAAUACAUGCAAGUCGAGCGAACAGACGAGAGUGCUUGCACUCUCUGACGUUAGCGGCGGACGGGUGAGUAACACGUGGGUAACCUACCUAUAAGACUGGGAUAACUUCGGGAAACCGGAGCUAAUACCGGAUAAUAUUUAGCUUCGCAUGAAGCAAUAGUGAAAGACGGUUCUGCUGUCACUUAUAGAUGGACCCGCGGUGUAUUAGCUAGUUGGUGAGGUAACGGCUCACCAAGGCAACGAUACAUAGCCGACCUGAGAGGGUGAUCGGCCACACUGUGACUGAGACACGGCCCAGACUCCGACGGGAGGCAGCAGUAGGGAAUCUUCCGCAAUGGACGAAAGUCUGACGGAGCAAUGCCGCGUGAGUGAAGAAGGUGUUCGGAUCGGAAAACUCUGUUGUAAGGGAAGAACAAGUACGUUAGUAACUGAACGUACCUUGACGGUACCUUACCAGAAAGCCACGGCUAACUACGUG